GGGGAAUUUUUCCGCAAUGGGCGACAGCCUGACGGAGCAAUGCCGCGUGAAGGAUGAAGGCCUAUGGGUUGUAAACUUCUUUUCUCAGAGAAGAAUUUUUGACGGUAUCUGAGGAAUAAGCAUCGGCUAACUCUGUGCCAGCAGCCGCGGUAAGACAGAGGAUGCAAGCGUUAUCCGGAAUGAUUGGGCGUAAAGCGUCUGUAGGUGGCUUAAAAAGUCUCCUGUCAAAGAUCAGGGCUUAACCCUGGGCCGGCAGGAGAAACUCUUAGGCUAGAGUUGGUAGGGGCAGAGGGAAUUCCCGGUGGAGCGGUGAAAUGCGUAGAGAUCGGGAGGAACACCAAAGGCGAAAGCACUCUGCUGGGCCAUAACUGACACUGAGAGACGAAAGCGAGGGGAGCAAAAGGGAUUAGAUACCCCCUGUAGU
rnacentral:rRNA from 1 species